CUGCCUGCAGAUUGAAACGCCACGUAUGAGCCACAGGCUGCGGCCGCCGCGCCCUUUGAGCGCCUCGCCGUCGCCAUGGCUACGCAGAUAAAGAUCAGGGCCCCAGGUAGUUAUUAACAAGCGGGAGGAUGAUUCACCGCCAAGAGGAAAUCCUGGUGAUGGCAACCGAAACGCUGCGUGUGCAGAAAGCUGAAGCAGGAAGAGAAAAACGUAAUUUACUGCUGAACACUGUAAAAACACAAAACCUUACCAAAACCGACUGUCACUGCAGAUCCAGAUGCAAGUCUUACCGGAGAGAGCCUCACUCUUCAAGUCUCGCCCCAUAUUCUUAAUUAGAUUUAGUUCUGGACUUUGACUAGGCCAUUCUAACACAGAUUUCUUGUGCUGUAUAUCAUCCGCUAAGAGGUUUUCUUCCUGUCUUUAGCUCCUCCAGCUCUGACAAAAUGUUUCCAGACAAACACAGAAACAUGGCCGUCCUGACCGUCUGCGCUCACAAAUAGCAAACACUUCAUCGUUAUCCCCAAGACGCUCGGCGCCACAUGGACAGAUUAGGAAUGGAGUUUGAGCCCACAGACACGGCAGGAAUCUGAUCCGGACCCGGCAGAGGGAACCGAGACCGGCUUCCCUUUUUGUUCGCCCCUUUUCUCCUCUUCCUCUUAUGUAACUGUGAAGCUCAGAGCUGGGAGAAUAAACGCUGAAAACUAAAACACAUCCUGUUAUUCACAAUCAAACUGAUAUCGUAUCUUAUCAGAAACUAAAACUAAAAAAAUGUUUAAAAAGCUCAUUUUAAUGCUAAGCGAGACAGCAGUUUGACUAAUUACCGUGUCAUACUAGAUCACAGGCCUGCAAUGGCUCUUAAUAAAAACAUAUAUAAUAACAAGUGCAGCUUUUUAGCCACUUUUUAAUUGUUUUCCUGCAAUAUUUGCCUUGAAUUUCCACAAGAAAAUGCCACUGAAAGCACCAGGAACAUGUUUCCAUAGGUUUCGCAGCAAAAUUUGCAGAGUUAAAUCAACAAGCGAUUGCACAGUUACAACUACUUCCAGUGUUAAAUUUACUCCAGCUCUUGUUGAAAUAACUGGAAGAGUUAAAUUAAUACCAAUUCAAUUCGGAAAAGAACCAAACAGAUUUAACUCUGCAAAUAUCUUAGAAUGAGACAAAAGUAACUUUUAAGCAAGAUAUAGGAGCUUGUUUUAAGUAAAUAAUUUCUUAAUAUUCAUGAAAAAGCACUAGUGACACUGGUAGAAUAUUUCUUGCUGAAAAGUUACUUUUUAGUUGGUCUACUUUUAUUUGAAGUGUAAUAAGAUAUUUGCAUUAAAACGCUUUGCAACACGUUGUGUUUUUGCAGUGCGUUCGCCCAGUGACUCAUGCAGAUGUUUGGAAUAAAAACAGGCUGUUGUCAAACGGACCGGGUCAUAUGAUUAUCGCUCAGCGCCUCUCUGCAGACUGAAACGUGUCCCGGUCCGACCCAGCAGCCCUUCCUGCCGUGCCACCCGGCCUCGCAUACUUCAUCCCCUCCCCCACUUUCCACCAGCCUCCCUCUCUGUUGUCUGACUGGAAACUCAAACUGGGAAUUCAUUUGAAGAGAAACUACAUUUUUAUUGUGCUUUGUGAUCUGUCUGCUGCUGAAAAGGAACCCAAAGAUAGCAUUACGUGGAUUUGAAGGCCUGGAGAGCCUGUCCAGGGUUUCCAUCCCCCACCCUGAUAAAAAUAAGCGCCCUGCUCCAGCGGAGAGGAGGGGAUCUUCUCAUGACUCAUUUUCUCCUGAACGCCAUUCUUCCUCAUUCUUUUGUGGAUCUCUGAUAUAUCAGAUAAAGAUCUGUGCAUACUUGUUAACAUCCUGGCUGCUUCCCUAACAUCUGUUAUUGACAGCCUCUAUGUUAUGAAGGGAUAUAACAGAGUUAUUUUUUUUUACCAACAACUGACAACACCACAAGAUAAACUUAACCAGGCAUUAAAAAAUGACUAAAAAGUUUAUUUUUUUCCCUAAAAAGGCAGCUAGAAGUACUGAGGCGUUUUUCCAUAAAUGAAAAUGAGUUUCCCCUGAAGCUGCCAUAGCCGUUAGCUUCAGGGGAAGCUAUGCUAGCGCUAGCUAAUUAGCUAGCUUAACUAAGAAAGUGUCGUACGGUUUAUGAGCAUUAAUAAGCGGUUAAAGGUUCCUUAUAAGGGAUCUCAAAUAUUUGUGGAGACAAUGAGAGAAAUUUCCUUCAUGUUACAAAAACCACAAUAAACAAAAAACCAGGGACUAUCAGGCGCUGAUUCUACCAAUCCAACCGUUUACACUGUUAGCUAAUUAGCAUUGAUAAGUUGCCUCUGCAGGCUAAUAGUGUGACUGAAUGAAAUCAGGAAGUUUUAAUUUAACCUAUAUUGUAGUUUAUUCACUGUAUUAUCAAGGUCAUUCUCUGAAUUCAGUGCAUUUUGUGUCUCAGGUUUAUCUCAAAGAUUUUCAUAGAAUGCAAAUCACUUUUUUUUGUUGAGAAAAUAAAGAAAUGGAAAUAUCCAUGUGUCUUGGUAAUGUAACAUGCAAAUAUAUUUUAUAAAACCAAUAAAAAUAGCCAGUAACUGCAAGUUAUUUCUACUAAUAUAAACAUUUUUAGGUAUACUUUAACCUAAAUAAAAGAAACAUGAGAAAAAUACAUGAAUUAUUUAUAAAAUAUCACUUUUUAAUCAUGUCCCUCCAGUUUUGUUCAACACUGUAACAGCAGUUUUCAUAAAUAAUGGCUCAGUCCAAUUUCCUCAGCACCCUGGAAGUGACAUCACUUUAGUCUCUUCCUGCUCACACUGUAAAGAGAUUUAAGUGUUAAUAUAGUUUAUUGCCGAUAUUUUAUUAUUUUUAUCCAUAGAUCGUCAUCGUCAAGCUCAACCUUUCAACACUGUUACAUACGUAAAUGAUAUCUAUUGUUGUUUGGGAAAAAGUAAAGAAUUGUCUUUGAAACACAUUAAUUUUUUGUUUUUAUCAUAUGUUGCUCCAUAUCCUAGCUGAUGGCAACUUUUAGCGAAAAUCUUCAACCCCGUUAGAAAAACAGUGGUUUUGUUACAGGGCUGAACGUUGGGCUGUUCAACCCGUUACAGGCUGGUCAACCCGUUACAGGCUGGUCAACUGUUACACUGGGUUUAACCCCGUCACGUCAAACAUUAUGAUUUUUUAAAAUAAUAACAGCAAAUAUUAAACUAAUAUUUUUUGGGCUAUAUGCAAAGUUUAAAGAAUGAUUCAAAAAUAUUUAAAAAACCUGAUUUAAUGUUUGUUUUAAAGUGUUUUUUCAUGAUUUAUGAAAAGCGCUUUUACAUCAAGUUGCCAUAUUCUACUUAUCAGUCUAAUUAUUAUGAUUCAGAAUCAAAUAAAAUAUACUUACAAUUAGUUAUUUUAAUCAAGGGACAGGUAAUCUCAAAGGAACUGGAAGAAUUAGUUUAUUAUGUUGUAGAGUUACAUUCAUAGAGGAAUCAAAUUGUCCCGUUACGCAAUUUAAAGCAACCUAAGUAACAAAGAAAUUCAUAAUACUGUUUGGGAUUUCAUGCAUAAAAUGGGGAGACAUAUUUUCCUGGAGGUUCAAAGAGUCUUUCAGUAGAUGCAGUGAUCAAAAACACAAUUUUUUGUGGUAUAUUUUUAAGUAACCUGAGACACCAAAAUGCACCGAAUUCAGAGAAUCGCCCAUCAGGAAUGCUUCAGCUGUUUGAGGACAGGAUGCCAAAUUAGGCCAUCUGGACCCAACAGCUGAAAGGAAAUGUCGCGCAUGUCAGCAGUAGGAGACACACCCCAGAGUCCAACCCAACAGGAAACAUGCACUGGCACAGAAAACGUCCCAUUAGUUCAGGGAAAUCUCAUUUCUGUUGAGGUCAAACUUCCUCAAAACAGUUUGUCUCCAUAGAAACCAAAUAUGUCUCAUGACAGGACCAAGAGUCAUUCUGCCAUCUUUUUUUUUAACUUUUAGUUGCUGUAAUAUUAUAAUAUUAAUGCAAAACUGAAUUUUAUUCUUUAUUAGUUUCUUUUGAAGGCAAAAAUACUUAAUAUUAGUUAAUUAGUGAACAUUUUGGGGGUUUAUAAUUGCAUUGAAGGCAAAAAUUCUCAUGUUAAAAGACAUUUAUGAAGUACUCUCAUUCUUUUUUAUAAUUUUGCACUUUUAGUAGCUUUGGUUAACUUGGAAGGUCAUAAUAAACUAGUCAAUUUGUAAGGACAAACUUUGUGUUGCUAGCAAACUACAGACAAUCUGAGCUUCAAAAUUUAGGUACAUUUGAGGUAAACUAAUAAACUAAUUAUUAUUUUUAGCUGAGAAAAUUAGAUCAAUAGGCAGAAAAGUGCAGUUGACCUAAACAUUGUAAUAACCUUUGCUAACCAUGUUAUUGUUUGCAAUGAUGCAAUAUUAGCUUGAAUCAGUCAACUGACUUUACUUCCUAUCUCUGAGGGAAAACAUACAUUUUGCAAAAGGUUUACUAAUUAAUAAGUAAAUAUUUUGAGCUCUACAGUUCACUUAUAUAGUUCACUUAUACAACUGCAGAGUUCACUUGUAUAAGUGAACUAAGGUCUAUUAGCUCACUUUCAAUAUAAAAACUAGCGAACCUUUAAAUAAAUUAGACUGCAAAUGAUGCGUUUUCUUUGUAAACAGCAUGUCAAGUAGUAUUAUAACUUAUUUCAGUUGCCAAAACUGCAUUUGCUUUAGAAUAUCUUAGAUUUGCUCUAUAAAA